rnacentral:snoRNA from 1 species
UUAUUGUGAUGAUAAAACUAUUUUCAGUUCUGCUUCUGAACCAAAAAUAUCAUGAAGAUAACCAAUUUUACCAAAACAUUUCUGAAAU